CCUCUCCUUACCCAUUCCGGCCAUUCACGUAACACGCAAAAUCCGCUACGUGCUUCUGGUUUCCAUAAGGCUUGUUACGGACUAUGAGAAUCACUCACCCCAAUUUGCUCUGCAAAGAUAAACUAAGGUAGAGCUGCACUCUGGCAAGAUUUCAAAUGUUUAAUACGGUUUGUUACUGUUUUAUCCAUGUCUAACCGAUCCAACAUCGCUAAUACCCUCUGGUCUUCCAGGUCGAGACAGCCAAGUGCAAUCCUCCGAGGGAAUCUCUGGAUACAUGGACAGCCGAUAUUUUUUCAACUAGGGAACGAGGGAAAUCUCGAUGACCCACAGCCCUGAAGUUUUUCUCUGCCCGGACCAGGAGGGUGGUGGGGGUGGCUUUGAACAACAUUUCCAUCUGCCAGACGUCGUGUCAAAAGUCACACCCCCUGGAAACUGGUAAAAACACAAGUCUGUUCUACUUAGAAGCUCUCGUUUCUGCUCUCCGGCCCCAUCUCCCGGAAUUGGCUCAAAACCCCGUUCUCGUUUCUGCUCACUGGAAUGCCGGAAGAGACGAAUUUUGCUCCGUCUGUUUCAAAGGCUGUACCGUAUGCCCCUGUCUAGUUAAAAGAUUAUAUUCUCCAUGUGUAGUUCUAGGAGGCAGUACGUUGCUUAUUUACAAAUCAACGCGAAACAGAUUCCCCAAGAGGAACAGAACUGUCUAUUCUUUCCCGAAAUACAGAAGCCACACGCACCUCCCAGUUCUUUCAUCGGCUGUCUGCAAACCGAUAUUUAAUACACAGGUAAACACGACGAGAAACCCAUUCGGCCGAUCCGCCCCUUCUACGUGAUUCCCUGAUUCGGUCACUACUUUGGACGCCCCAGCUAAAAUCCAACAGCUCUUCCUCCUCCUCUCCAAAUGACACCGAGGCAUAUCUUUAAAACUUGAACGGCGGAUCUCCGAAAGCCACGUUUACAGCGGAGACACCGUUGGUUCUGCUCUGAUCUCCCUUAAUAUCUUCACCGAUUGUCAUUCGGCCGAUUCCCCUCUGCAGAGGGAAACCCUUAACCGUGCAUUUACACGGGCUAGAGCCGGGGCCCCAGCUCCAGAGCCCCGUGAAUAUCAAACCGCCGAGCCCCUUUUCAAAAGCAAAUUCAUAAAUGCAAUCAUGCAUACCUUUUUGAGUUAUGAGGUGGCUGCGGAUUUGGCGGUGCUGACUUGAUGCAGUUCUGACAGGUUAGGUUAAGGGAUUAAGUCUAGCCUGUCUUCACUUUGCCCUGCCUCUGACACACUCUAAAAAAGUUGCUGGUUGGCCCUGUGCCUGGCGUGACCUCUCUAUCUCCGAGUGACAAUACUCCCUUUAAGGCUCUCCAGAGGUCACGCCAGAUAACUCUGUGACUAUCCCAGAUCCCUUCUUAUCUGGGUCUCUCUUCCUCCCUCGCUUGUCUUUGGGACCCAACAAAGUAGAGGGGGAGAGAGAGAGAAACUGAGAGUGGAGGAAAGGUGGGAGGGAAGGGGAAAAGUGUGUAUGUGUGUGUCUUUACUG
rnacentral:lncRNA from 1 species